AUCGAAUGCGUGGGAACCAGAGGUUGGUACUUGCAGGCUGGAUCGAAGAGAUGACCGAGAGAGAGUAGUCUGCUGCGCAAGCCAGAUCGAGCUGGUUCUUAAGAAAUUCGCGGUACUGGUCUGAGUUAAUCGGAGCCGUAGGAGCUGGAUCCAACGCCGCCGGCGGAGGAUGAUUGAGCUGCUGAGGAGGUUGCAGUUGACGAUGGCGAUGACGAUCGGGCUUCUUGAUCUCAACUACCUCUUCGUCCACAUCGUCG
rnacentral:lncRNA from 1 species